UAUUCAAUGUUUUAACUUUUAAAAAUUUCAGAGAAAAAAUUCUAAUCACGCACAGAUAAUGUUUAGAAUAUAAAAAUUGAAGCAUUUUUUAGAAUAAUUUGUUCAUUUAACUUUUGUAGGAUUCCUCUAAAAUCCAAGGACAUAAGAUGAGAACCCAAAUAAACAGAAAACAUCAAAAUAUGGGUGCCUACCCCCCGAAGAUUUUAAGAAGUUUUAAAAAAAGAAGGAAGGAAAAGGAAAGAGAAGAGAAGGUGAUUAAAAUAUUUUUGGAAGAAGAGGGUCCAGGCAGAGCAGGCUGGCACUCCGUGUACGUGAGCUCUAGACACCUUAACAUACUGGCCCAGGAGUCAGC
rnacentral:lncRNA from 1 species